rnacentral:rRNA from 1 species
AUCGCUAAUGCUGGUAUGAGUAACCGCGGAAAACACAGCGCAGCGAAAGGUUUUGCCCCAGUGAAACGAGCGGAUAAAAGAGAGCAGAGCAGAGCGCGAU